rnacentral:rRNA from 1 species
UACGUAGGGGGCAAGCGUUGUCCGGAUUUAUUGGGCGUAAAGAGCGUGUAGGCGGCCAGACAAGUCUGCUGUGAAAACUCGAGGCUCAACCUCGAGCUGUCGGUGGAAACUGUCUGGCUAGAGUCCGGAAGAGGAGAGUGGAAUUCCUGGUGUAGCGGUGAAAUGCGCAGAUAUCAGGAAGAACACCAAUGGCGAAAGCAGCUCUCUGGGACGGUACUGACGCUGAGACGCGAAAGCGUGGGGAGCGAACAGG